GUUGAAUAGGAGUGGUGAGAGAGGGCAUCCCUGACAUGGGUGCAGGCUAUGAAGAUGGGAAAAGGCCGUUGAUCACUCUGGCUUCUUCCUGCUGACAGCGGACAUAGUGGGAAUGGGAGUGAACCCCAAGGUGAGAGAGUGGAACCACUUUGCAACUGUCUGAGCGUACUCAUGCAGCCCUGGCUUUUCAGUAGGCCUACACAGAAAAUGUGAGACUGAAAACCCCUGCAUCCUUGAGCUCAUGGACGAUGUGCUCUAUGAGGCAGUAGAGGAGCUCCGCCUGGUACUCGACACUCCACAAAGCAACUCUCCCUUUGGGGCUGCAGUUGGUGAACAAAAAGAAACUCUCAAGGAUCCAAGAUGAUGCUGAUAAGACUUAUUAAAUUUGGAGAAACCAAAUUUAACGUCACUGAACCCAAAGAACCCGGAGAGUCAGUGGUUAUAAGAAUUCCAGUGAUUC
rnacentral:lncRNA from 1 species